ACAGUGCUGAAUUCGGAACAGAGGGCAGGAGGCACCAAACAGCAUUGAGCGCACUUCACAGCAGUCUUGAAAGAGAAUAAGGCAACAUAAGGAGAAACUAACGCAACAAUGGAACCAAACAUGGUUGCAGCAGAAGCAGUUUAUCAGGGACUGUAUUGUGCCGUUUCUUUCUUCCUUGAGUCUGUCACCCAGUCUGCUAAGCCCUGAUAUAUUCUGCGGAUCUUUGAAGAGAUUAUACAUCAUUCACAUCAUUCCCUGCUCCAGCUAAGCAUACAAUCUAAGGUUCUCAUUCGCACACACUAUGGGUCCUGCGUUUCACUGAAACUUGAUGCUUUCCUCCUACGUUAAGCGCUGGCUGAUGAUGAAGAAUAGGCUGCAUUUUUUCCUGCACUACCCUGUGGUCCAAAAUCCAACUCAGGGCCCUUAUUGAGCUAAACCGAGCAAACAAGGAGACUGAAGCUACACCACAUAGGAUUUGAUUAUUGGAAGCAACUCCGGUGACCCGUUCUCCUAAUUACACCAAAGGUCCAAGCAGGCUUAAGCAGACAGGUGCAGUUCUACUCUAUCUACUAUAUUCAUGGUUGGGACACCCAAUCUAAAUAAAUUCAGCUCAUGUAGCGAA